AGGAAGUUAGCAAUUGUUAAUUUGAUUUGUGUAUUUUGUUGGAUUAGGUAAAGAUUCUUCGGAAAGCUCAAAAGAUGAGAUGCUUCGUAAGGAUAAAAAUGUUAGCUUAGUUUGGGAUGUUCUCCCAUUGAGAAAGAGCAACGAAGUAAAGAAGGAUAUAUUAAAAAAAUGCAUAAAAUGCCUGAAAUUCAUACCUGACGUUUCUUGCCACAUCCGUUGCAGUAGAUCCAAGACAAGAGAGGAAGAAUAAGUAUAUCCAGUUAGAUUCAAUAACAAUAUAAUAAUUUAUCAAAUUAUGUUUACAUUUUGUCAAAACCAAAAUUAUAUAUUUCACUGAAUCAUAAUAAAACUUUUAUUAUUUGACCAA